rnacentral:misc_RNA from 1 species
UGAAAAUGCAAAUACUUCACAGUCAACAAAUUAACAAAUCAAAAUGAGUGCAAUCACCAAUCCACCAAAUCGAUUGAACUAAAUCAGUUCAGUUUCAAUUUUUGUUUUAAAUCGAAAACUGCACACCCCAUACAAAACGAACUCAACUCAUUUGGGUCAUAAAAUGCUGUCAAUUGAAAUCUUGGCCUUAGCAAGCCAUGAUACCGCAGGCUAUAAGCGAUUUGGAAUGAAUUGUAUUGUCCAGAUAAUUGGAGAAGAAACUGGCAAGCUGUAUACGGCUGUAACGGGGGCUGAAGGCAAAAGCAGUCCGAGAAAGUUGCAAUCUGACCAUACACUAUGAUCUAUAAGCCAUGUAAUGCUUGAUACCUGAGAUUAUCAAGAACACUUGUGUUGCUUUACAGAGAGUAUUAAAAAAAUAAUAAUAAUUAAAAAUAAAUACCCACGCCAAUUAUCUAAGAAAGGAUAUAGUUGAAGGGGAAGAAAUGCAGAGCUCAACCAGACAAGAUGAGAAUGAAAGUUAUUUCACUGAGGAUUUGCACCUACAAAUUAGCAAACUAGUGUACGUCCAAGGCAGCUUAAUUGGUAGCUAUAAUUCCCUUCAAGAGGAAGUUAUGAGCUCAGUAUUCUCUACUAACUAAGAAGAAAAAAUAAAUAAUAUAAAUUUGUAAGAUUAAAAUUGAGAGCUUGGAUGUGGGAAAAGCAAAAAAGAAUAGAAACUUCAGUGAGUAUACAAGGAUGCUAAGAUCUCAUGUAAAUUAGCCAUGUGACUGGCCAAAACUUGAAAA